rnacentral:rRNA from 1 species
ACUCCUACGGGAGGCAGCAGUUGGGAAUAUUGCACAAUGGGGGAAACCCUGAUGCAGUGACACCGCGUGUGGGAUGACGGCCUUCGGGUUGUAAACCACUGUUAGAGGGAACGAAGUCCGAUCGGGCGAAUAGUCCGGACGGGUUGACGGUACUCUCAGAGAAAGCCACGGCUAACUCCGUGCCAGCAGCCGCGGUAAUA